rnacentral:rRNA from 1 species
UACGAAGGGGGCUAGCGUUGUUCGGAAUUACUGGGCGUAAAGCGCACGUAGGCGGAUAUUUAAGUCAGGGGUGAAAUCCCGGGGCUCAACCCCGGAACUGCCUUUGAUACUGGGUAUCUCGAGUCCGAGAGAGGUGAGUGGAAUUCCGAGUGUAGAGGUGAAAUUCGUAGAUAUCAGGAAGAACACCCGUGGCGAAAGCGGCUCUCUGGAACGGUACUGACGCUGAGACGCGAAAGCGUGGGGAGCGAACAGG